rnacentral:lncRNA from 1 species
GGGCUGACUUAGUUUUGAACUGAGUUGACCCAGUCCUCUUAUGUAGUGAGCUCAAUAUUGAUUGAGCCAAUUCAGUUUCGGAACAGAAAGUCUUUGCAUAAUAUUUAUCAUAAAUUAUUUACAAAAAAAAGAUUGAAAUUAUUUCAAACCUAAAUCUAAACCCAUAUUAAUACUGAAACUUAAUUGAGAAUUAAGUGUAGAAUCGAUUUGAUCUAGAAUUGUGAUUUA